CAGUAGCCGCGGGAAAACGUAGGUGGCAAGCGUUGUCCGGAAUUAUUGGGCGUAAAGGGCUCGCAGGCGGUUUCUUAAGUCUGAUGUGAAAGCCCCCGGCUCAACCGGGGAGGGUCAUUGGAAACUGGGAAACUUGAGUGCAGAAGAGGAGAGUGGAAUUCCACGUGUAGCGGUGAAAUGCGUAGAGAUGUGGAGGAACACCAGUGGCGAAGGCGACUCUCUGGUCUGUAACUGACGCUGAGGAGCGAGAGCGUGGGGAGCGAACAGGAUUAGAUACCCGCGUAGUCCCUGUCUCUUAUAC
rnacentral:rRNA from 1 species